rnacentral:rRNA from 1 species
AUUGAACGCUGGCGGCAGGCUUAACACAUGCAAGUCGAACGGGUGGCGGACGGGUGGGUAAUGCUUGUGACUCGUGCUUAUGGAGAGGGUUAACUACCGGAAACUGUAGCUAAUACCGCGCUCCUUAGGCUGGGUCCGAGUGGGAUUAGGUAGUUGGUGAGGUAAAGGCAUACCAAGCCGACGAUCUCUAGUUGGUCUGAGAGGAUGACCAGCCACACUGGGACUGAGACACGGCCCAGACUCCUACGGGAGGCAGCAGUGGGGAAUAUUGCGCAAUGGGGGAAAGCUGACGCAGCCAUGCCGCGUGAAUGAAGAAGGCCUUCGGGUUGUAAAGUACUUUCGGUAGCGAGGCGUUAACUACAGAAGAAGCACCGGCUAACUCCGUGCCAGCCGCCGCGGUAAUAC